rnacentral:rRNA from 1 species
GACGAACGCUGGCGGCGUGCUUAACACAUGCAAGUCGAACGGAAAGGCCCUGCUUUUGUGGGGUGCUCGAGUGGCGAACGGGUGAGUAACACGUGAGUAACCUGCCCUUGACUUUGGGAUAACUUCAGGAAACUGGGGCUAAUACCGGAUAGGAGCUCCUGCUGCAUGGGGGGGGUUGGAAAGUUUCGGCGGUGGGGGGUGGACUCUCGGCUUAUCAGCUUGUUGGUGGGGUAGUGGCUUACCAAGGCUUUGACGGGUAGCCGGCCUGAGAGGGUGACCGGCCACAAUGGGCCUGCGAUACGGCCCAGACUCCAACGGGAGGCAGAAGUGGGGAAUAUUGCACAACGGUCGGAAGCCUGAUGCAGCAACGCCGCGUGCGGGAUGACGGCCUUCGGGUUGUAAACCGCUUUCGCCUGUGACGAAGCUGGAGUGACGGUAAUGGGUAAAGAAGCACCGGCUAACUACGUG